rnacentral:rRNA from 1 species
UACGUAGGGACCGAGCGUUGUCCGGAUUCAUUGGGCGUAAAGGGCGCGUAGGCGGUGCGGUAAGUCACCUGUGAAAUCUCCUGGCUCAACUGGGAGCUUGCAGGCGAAACUGCCGUGCUGGAGUGUGGGAGAGGUGCGUGGAAUUCCCGGUGUAGCGGUGAAAUGCGUAGAUAUCAGGAGGAACACCGGUGGCGAAGGCGGUUCUCUGGGCAUGAUCUGACGCUGAGGAGCGAAAGUGUGGGGAGCGAACAGG